rnacentral:rRNA from 1 species
AGAGUAGUACUAGGAUGGGUGACCUCGUGGGAAGUCCUCGUGUUGCAUUCC